rnacentral:lncRNA from 1 species
AGAAGCAUAAAUGAUGUGCCACGAUAUACUUAUACAUCCCUUAAUAUGGUAAAUAGUUUCAUCAUGUCGUAAACUAAUCUUUCAUAUAUUCUUAACAUUACUCAAAAAGGAUUUCUCAAACACAAGAUCGAGAGAGACACACACACACCUGGAAGUCCAGCAGUGGCGAUUCCAAAAAAGUCUAUGUAGGUGAACUUAGCAUCGACCAGGUUGCGAUUCAGUUCAUCAACGAGAGGUUUGAGCCUGUCGUUGAAUAACAUAACCGCGCUGUUGAUCUUGUCGACGCACAGAGAUCCGUUGGUCCCAAAUCUUGAAAUUUCUGUUGGGGCGCAACCUAUCACACUUAAUCCAAAUAUUGCCACCUUCCUUGCUCCAUAGGAAUACAAUGUCUAAGGUUUGAAAAUUGGAUUAUAAAAAGAUCAGAUCCGUUGAAACUACGGAUAUUCCAAGUAAUAAUCAAAUGAAAGUGAUCAAAAAAAAAAAUAGAUGUUAAUUUAAAUUAGAACUGGAGUUAUCCGACGCGCAUUAGGAGAAAGUUGUUACCUUCAACUGUUGUUGGUAUUGCUCGAUUAGUACAUCGGCAUAUUGCUCGGGCAUGUAAAGCUUGCCGGUCUGAUAUACGUCUGGCAUGAAGUAGUUGUUGAUGUAAUCGUUGCUUCCCAUUCCUACCGUGUAUAUGCACUUGUUUAAGUAUGCCGUAGCAUUCGAUCCCAACAUGUCUCUGACACGCGAGAUUGUGACCAAAUGGUUUUGCAAUUGAUGGUUCAAGCUGAUUCGAUCGCCCUGUUGGAAGAGCAUGUAAAAGAUAUCUUUUUGAAUAUAUGUACAAAUAAUAUAGGCAGACUUAAGGGGGCUAGUGAGUGUUGUCCAACCGAGCCAUCAAAUAAUUAGAGUUUGUUUGUUUCAUGGAAAAUAUCUUCCUCAUUUGGUUCGUUAAGGAAAAUAACUCAACGGAAAAUAUUUUCCUAAUCAACUGAAAACGUUUUCAAGGUAUCAGCACUUAGAUUCAAAAUUUUACGCUUGAGCACGAAAUCCUUAACAUUGGUUCUCGAGUCUUAGCAUUCAAGACUAGGCCUCCGGUGGCCAGGUUUGGGUUCAUUAAGGCGAGACUCAAGACCUCGAUGCUCAGGCGUAGGCCGCUAGCACUUACACUUGGGUCUAUCAAGGCUAGGCCCAAAUUCCUUAUGUAUGUACUCAAUGCUCCAACACUAAAACUCACGUCCAUAAAGACCAUGCUCGGGUCCCUGACGUUGGAUCUCUAAUCCUAACUCUUAGGCUCAAGUCCACAAAGGCUGUACUAGGGUCCUCGGUGCUCAUGUUCAAGUCCUCGAUUAGAAACUUUUGCUCCUCUAAAAGUAUCUUUUCAAAAAAAAAAAAUUGAAUUUUUGUAUAUUCGGAUUUUUUUUUCUUUUUGUUUCUUCUUCGGCCCGUCACCGACCGUAACAACAACUAGCGAGCUCUAAUCUCUUUAGAAUGGGAGAGCUCACCGCCUCUGGCAACUAGACUCAAGCUCACCCAAGGCCAAUGGGGUCUCGACAACUGGCAACAAGAUUUGAGCUCGGGCAUCAUCAAAUUAGGCGAGCUCACGCCUUGCGGCCUUUGGGGAGGCUUGAGCUCGCCUGAGGCCGACAACCGGCGAAGGAAAAAGCAAAAAGAAAAGAGAAUAUGUAUAAAAAUUAAAAGUAAUUAAAAAUAAUUUUAAAAUACGAAUUUUAUGAUAAUUUUACCUAUUAGACUUUCCUUACCAAACAAAUGGAAAAUACUAUUUAGUUCAUUUUUAAGUUUUAGCCAGACACCGAAAAAUGAAGUCAUUUUCUGAAAAAAUAUCUUAUAGAAAUGAUACAUUUCCUGCGAAACAAACAAAUCCUUUGCGUAAAAUUCUACAUAUUUAUUUACCAGUUGCUGUCCUGUUUCGUCUCGAAUGCCUGCCCCACCGGAUGCAUAAUUCACACCGAUGAGUAUCUCGCUCCCUUUUGCAGAUGCAAAGGGUUGAAUGUAUCUGUCAAACCCCAGGAGUCCGGCUGUAUUCAUAAAUAAGACACAUAAUAAAAAAAACUGAAUAGCAAGCCCAUGAACGUAAUAGGCAUACGCCUGUAAACUCACGAGAGUUUUUGCCUUUUGGCUUCCUAAGCAACUUCUAGGAAAGCAUGAUACUAUGUUCAAGCCACAUUACGUUAUGCUUUUCCAAGAUUUAACAUGAACAGUUAGAAGGGUCAUUGAAAAAAGGAGAGCAGGUAAGAAAGCAGACCAAUGAUAUCGACGGAGGUGCGGCCAUUGGUGAACCUUCCGGUGGCUCUGUCGGGGAAGUCAAUCCCAUAAGGAGGAUAAUUCGCUUUGGCCUGAGUCUCGAGAUCGUUGUUGUUCCCGUUAUCAGCGAGGGAAUCCCCAUAUAUGAAGUAACACGGCACUUGAGGAGCUCCAAGAACCCAGCUUGGCGAAUUCGAUGAGAUCAAGAAGAGAACAGGAAAAAUAACUCCCCAUGCUCUAUUGUACUCGAACGACGCCAUUUUGAAAUGGGAAAUAUAUCUAUGAAGAAAGACUGAAGCUUCUCUGGUGUGUAUAAUGUAUGAACGAAUCAAAUAGAAGGUGAACAAAAGGGUAAGAAAGCUUUCAAAGCUGGAAGCGAUUGGUGGCCGGCGAUGAGAAGAACAGAAAGCAAGAAGAGGACGGUUUGCAGGGCAGAGAAAGGAAGCGAUGGUGAUUAUAACUAGCCAGACAGUUGACUUUUUCCAUUAGCUCGAGCAUGACAAAGUGGAAUGAAAAAGGCGAUUACAAAGGAAUUUGGUGACAUGACGCGAAGGGUAUGGGUAUUGCUAGAUAACAUUGUUUUGAAUGUUAUCCCGCCGUGAUCCAGUUGGCAUAUUCCAGCUAUUUUUGCCCUUGAAUGAACCCUAGAAUAUAUAUAUGUCCCAUGUGCAAGAGAUCCGCAAAAACAGUAGCACGUGUAUAUAAACAUUUAUAUCAAUGAUAAACGUGGAUCCCACUUUAUUGGAAUAUAAUACACGGAAACACAAAAUCACCAUAUAAAUAAACGAUAUAUAAUAAAGACACCAGAAAUUUACAUAGUUCGAUCUGAGUAUUAAUACCUACAUUUACAGGAAGAGAAUUAUAGUUUACAAUCGCUCACACGCUUGAGUGUUUCCCACACUUUAAUUUAAGCACAAAUCCAAAAUAUUUAUAAAUAAAUAAUUCAUUUGAACAUAAAUUCACGGUACAAAAUUAUCACACAUUUAAACUCAAAACAAAACACUCUAUGUACACCAAAAUCAAAAAAUUAUCACGUGUUCAAACUCAAAACAAAACGCUCUACGUAUGCCAAAAUCAAAAACUCCAGCGUUGGUCUUUGGUCCACAUAUGGCUUCGCGUUCUUAAUCAAGGCUUUCACGCGGCUUCAAGGACUUGCGGCUUCAGAGAUUGUGGCCGUGCGGCUUCGUAGGGAUUCGGCAGUCAAAAGAAUCCUCCCUAUAUAUAUAUAUAUAUAUGUGUGCGCCCAUGGAGAAGAAUUUGACCUGGGCCCACUUUUUUGCUCCACGUGCAGCUCUCCUCUCUCUCUCGGCGUGGAAUAUGCGUGCCCAAAGUCAAAUAUUUGACUUUGGGCGCCCACCAUGAUAACCUGCAGAGGAAUUCAGCAACUCCAGAUAAAAGAGGAAACUUUUGCUCCCUUUUUAUUUUAUUUUUAUUUCCUCUUUUAUGUAGCUAUAAAGAAUCCAAGAAAGAAAAUUGUUACUUUUUUCUUCAUCUAAUUUCCAAUCCUUGAAAGAAAAAAACUUUAUCGAUAAAUUCGGUUUAACAAAUCAUUAUCCAAAUUUAAAUUCGAGACAUUAAUUUAACACACUCUAAUUAAGGGAAGCUAAAAUUGAGCCUGCAACAUGGAAUGUCGUAGUUUACAAAUAAAGGAAAAGGAUAUGUUUUAGUAACAAGUGAAAAAGUAAAGGCAUUGUUGAGAUGCAAGUCAUGAUGAAGGGUUGUUCUAUUUUUUUCUUUUUGGAUGUCGUGAUAAUAAAAUUUAUCGAUAUUUAUAAUGGGACAAGAUAUACCUACAUCCUUUUUUGAUAUAUUUAUUUUAGCGUUAGCUAUAUUGCAUACGAUAUGCGCAAGCAAUAUGACUUUUAUUCACCUUUAAAAAAAGUCAAUUAACAUGGAUAAAUUGAGUACAAUUGCUCAAGUACACACGCAAUCAUUGAAAGGGAAAUAUUAUAUAACCCCUAUCAUUUUGCAUAUGUCAAUGUCGUGCAUUUAUCUGCCUUCCUAUAAGUUAGUUAUUCCCUAAUGGAGUAAAUCUAUGAAAUUCAUGCCAUCAUGUUGUUAGCAAGGUUCACUUCUAUGUGGAGGAAGCCCAAUGAGUUGCAAGCUCAAAAAGGUUUGAGCCCGUAUGCUAAACAAUGAGCACACUUCUUUAGCGCCGAACUUUUCAAUUCUAAAAUGAGCUUCUUCUUGGCCAAUAGUGACAAACCCUUCUCACUGAUGUGACUGAGCCUCUUAUGUCAUAACUCAGCUGCAUCUUUGCUGUCUACUACAUUAAUUUUGUCUGUGGAUAACUUUGCCUGCAUAAUGUACAACGAAUAAUAUUUUUCACAUCUAGUCACAACAAGAUAACCUUUGGUGAACUUCCAUUGACUAUUACGAAAGGUGUUGCAAUACCCCUCAUCAUCCAACUUGCCUGUAUAAAUCAAAUUCAAGAGGAUAUCAGAUAUAACUUGCAGUCGCCUUAUUUGACUGGAAUUAUCCUGGAUAUUUUAUUCAAUAGCGUAUGCAUUUAGACGUUGGCGGCCGUGUGGACAACUGCUUCGGCGCUGACCAAUAUCAUCCCAACCUCUUUAGUCAGAUCAUCGCCAGAUUGCGAAUGCCGUAAGGGGAGGCAUCGGAUGGAAGCAAAGCGUUGCAUGCCCUCGCAGCAAACCCCAAAUUCACUGUCUCCGUGGGAUGGAAUCCGUCAAAGAACACGCAUAUCUUCCUGUACGAGCAUGGAGUUUCGAAGGGAAUGCAAGUGCCCAGUUCCUUGUUCACUUUACAGCAGGUCGCGUUAGGCCAGCUGAGAAUUUAAGGAGCUCUAGUUUAGAUGCUAACGGUGGGUGAGGUGGGACGGGUUUUUGGAGUUGGGGCUUGGUGUUGCAAAGGUGAUACGGGGGAAAAGUUGGAUGGCGUGAUUCGGUUAGGAAGUGCAUAAUAGAUGAUGAUGUUCAAUGUGGGAAUGGUGAGAGAGGUGUGGAUUUAAGGUUUUGGGUAUUGGGAGUUUUACGGCAAACUAUCACCGUUGGGAUGGAGAGGGAGCUCUUCAAAGGAAGAGAGACUCAACCGAUUGCUAAUGAAACUAGUACUUAACUUAGACACCAAGCUAUGUUCCACUUACUGCAUUGAAAUAGAACAUCAUUUUGCAAUCAGCAAAUUGCUCGAUGCGUAUGCAGUGCACAGGCAUGAAAUUGUCAUUAUUGUUCAAUCAAAAUACCCUCACAGGUCAAAAAUAUUCUUUCGGCAAAAAUGGCAUCGACAUGAAUUAAAAUUUGUCAAACUGUCUUGGAGAUUUUAUUGAGCAACUAGAUCAAUAUCAAUUGAAACUUUUCGAAUUAAUAUGCACACAUGAGCAUUUAAUCUCUCUAUUUUCUUCUUCAGAUCAUUGCGAGAUGAUGAAUAUCAAAAGGGUAAGCAUCAGAAGAAAGUAAAGCUGUGUAAGCCCUUGCACCAAACACCAAAUUCACUAUCUCUGUGGGGUGAAAUCCAUCGUAGAAGGCGUGCAACAACCUAAUCGAGCAUGGAGUUUCGAAGGGAAUGCACAGGCCACUCUCCCGAACCUUACAACAGGUUGAACUUGCAACUCGGAGAACUGAAAAAGACAAAUACAAUAUCAUCAUUGAAAUUCACCAGUGAAGAACCAUAGACGUCGUGCCACAAUAUACUUAUACAUCCGUUAAUAUGGUAAUAGUUUCGUCAUGUGGUAAACUGAUCUUUGAUAUAUUCUUAACAUUACUCAAAAAGGAUUUCUCAAACACAAGAUUGAGAGAGACACACACCUGGAAGUCCAGCAAUGGCGAUUCCAAAAAAGUCUAUGUAGGUGAACUUAGCAUCGGCCAGGUUGCGAUUCAGUUCAUCAACGAGAGGUUUGAGCC